UACGGUUUGCCCCGUAAAUGAUCCGGUACGGUUUUAUUAAUAUUUUUAAAGUUAAUAAUUAUCUGGUUGUCUCGUAAUGCGUGAAGCAUAUUCAAGGAAUAUUCCAAAGCAUAUUCAAGGAAUAUUCUCUUAUCUUCUUCUAUAAAUAUCCUUUACCAGUUUAUUUCGCACGUACAAUCAUUUCGUCAGUUUCUCUGCACGAAUACCGAGAGAAGACGAACGGGUGUUCUUCGUGUUCUUCAUAUUCAAACGAGGAUUUGAAGGCGUUAUUGGAAUCCGAUGGAGGCGUAUAAAUAGUCAAAACGAAGCUCUCGACGCGUAGAAUCUAGUUUAAUCAACCGUAACACUGCAGAUUUCACGGGGUUUGGACGAGACGGAUACGAUCGAAGACGUUCAGAAGGUCAAACGAUGUUACAAAGCGAAUAAGGAACGAAUCGAGUAAACGAAGCAGUGUGGCGAAUAGAGUAUAACCAAAGAUGGUUUAGAGACUAUGAUAUGCAUAGAGUGUGAAAGUGGAAAGAUGAGAUUGAGAUAUGAGACUGGAAUCGGAUUUAAGAAGAGCUUAGAGAUGAAUUGCUUGAUUGAGGUUGCGAGUAUGGCUAAGGCUAAGCGAGGAGUCAGAGUUAUAGAAUAUCCAGAGGACAAGUGGAAUGUCCAUGGAGAUUGUCAAGGUUGGUUCUAGAUAGAAUUGUAUUGAUGAGAUUCAGUUGUAAGUCAUAAUUGAGGUAGACUGGUAGUGAUUCUUCUUAUCGAAGAUGAUUUGAGUUUGUAAGAUAAUGUUUAUUAAUAGUGGUUGAUUCUAAUUUCAAUACUGUAACCUGGAUGCGAUCCUGUUUUUAGGGGGUUAAAGUGUUUUCUUUUAAAUCUUUUACUAAAGUUUUCAGGUUUUAAA